rnacentral:rRNA from 1 species
GACGAACGCUGGCGGCGUGCCUAAUACCUGCAAGUAGGACGCAGUUGCGAACGGGUGAGUAACGCGUAGGUCACUGCCUCUUACAGGGGGAUAACUAUCGGAAACGAUAGCUAUUACCGCAUCCUAGUAGAUGGACCUGCGUUGUAUUAGCUAGUGGGUUGGGUAAAGGGCUACCUAGGCGACGAUACCUUGCCGACCUGGAGGGGGGAUCGGCCAAAAGGGGAAUGGGACACCGCCCCAACUCCGACGGGAGGCAGCAGGAGGGAAUCUUCGGGAAUGGGGGGAACCCUGACCGGGCAACACCGCGUGAGUGGAAGAGGUUUUCGGGUCGUAAAGCUCUGUUGUUAAGGAAGCGGUACUUAACCAGAAAGGGACGGCUAACUACGUGCCAGCAGCCGCGGUAAUAC